AAGUAUAAUUUGACUGAUUCUUUGAGGACUGGCCUUUACCAUGAUGUGACAUAUGAGACAUUUUCUCACUUUUGCAGCACAGUCUGAAGUCUGUUCACAUUCUUUACAGAGCUAGGGUGGAUGAGUCUUGGAAAUACAGAAAGCAGGUAACCCAUUCUGAUUUUUUUAUGAACAUACUAGUAACUUUAACUAAACAUGUGUUGUUAGCAGCACUCUUAACUAUGGAAUGCCUAUAGCAGAAUAUUCCUAGUUGUCUAGGAUUCCUUAUGACAAACAAACCAGGAACCCAUGGGUUUAUGGGACAGAGCUAUCUAGAAAUAUGGCACAUUAACUGUAUGCAUUGAGUAUAAAGUGGAAAUGUUGCACGAACCACCUAUUUUUUUAUGUUAAACAGAGUGACCAUAAACCUUACCGAUAAACCUCAUACGUUAAUCUGUGCCAGAGAAUGCCAGAUCCAGAAGUCUAGGAAAUUGCUCCAGGGGUUCAGGACCUCCUCUGCUUUGUGUAUGGGAUCUGUUCUUGAAAUUAGGGGGAAGACUUGAUAUUGAAUAAGACCUGUGAUUCGGGUAACUCUAAUUUGACAAUCCAGUUGUUUAUAUUUAUCUGACUUUUCAUUCUUUGUUUAGCAAUAUUAAGAAAAGGCUUAAUCAAUUUAUUAGCUGAUCGAUCAUUAAAAGCAUUUUUUUUUCAUGAAAAAUACCUAAUUUUUGGCAGGCAACUAAGAAGUCAUAGACAGCAACUGAAUGACAAUACUAUAACACUGUCUUCUGUUUUCAACUGCUUAUUUUUUGCAAGGUGUGUUAUUCAGCAUGCGCAUGUGCACAAGCAAUAGCAGCAUAUCAGCUUUAGACGUGGACAUGUCACAGGGUCUGGACAUGAAGAACUCUUACCCUACAUUAGACUCCAUGCUUUUUUAUGAAACCCUCUUCUCCGGGAAGUACAGAGAUUGAUCAUGGGAGUAUGUUGUCCUCUCAGGCAUACUAUCCUGAAGAUGUUUCUCAGCCUGUUGAUAGCUACUUUCAAAAGCCUCUACCUUCAGACACCUCACACAAAAUGUAGUCUUCAGUCUCAAAAUCUAUACUUAAUCCCAAACUCCAGAAACAGAGGUCCAGUUUUUGUAAAAACUUCAUCACUGCAUUUUACUGUUUUUGCCACCACAGGGAGGCCUGUUUCAGCAGCUGAGCAAGCAUGUGGUGGGAAGGAAGAGGAGUCCUUUGUAUAUAUGGUAUGCAAAAAAAUCACCACCACCCCACCACUGCGAAAGAUGUCUGCAUCCUAAGCCUCAGAAUCUGUAAAUGUGUUACCUCACAUGGCAAAAGAGACUUUGCAGGUGCGAUUAAAUUAAAGAUCAUGGAAAAAUUCUAUUGGAUUAUCUAGAUGGGCCCAUUAUUAUCACCAAAGUCAUGGAAAGGAAGGCAAGAGUCAGAGAAGAAAAUAGGAUGACAGAAGCAGAGGUCUGAGUGAAACAGAGCUAUAAACCAAGGAAUGUGGGCAGCUUCUAGAAGCUCAAAAAGACAAUGAAUAAAUUCUCCCCUAGAACUUCCA
rnacentral:lncRNA from 1 species